ensembl:lncRNA
AUCUAAAUAAAGUAAAAUAACAAUAUAAAAUAAAAUGAAAUAAAAUAAAAUUAUAAAAAUAAAAAUAUAACAAAUUAAACACUAAAAAUAAAAAAUAAAUAUUAAAAACACAAAAAAUAAAAAUAAAAAUAAAAUAAAAUAAUAAAAUAAAAAAUAAAAUAAAAAUAAAAAUAAAAUAAAAUAAAAAUAAAAUAAAAUAAAAUAAAAUAAAAUAAAAUAAAAUAAAAUAAAUAAUCCCCUUUGGGAGCGGAGGCUCGGGGGUUCCCAGGGGCGUCCGUGGACGAGGAUUCAUAAAAAAAUAUCUCUGAGAGUGUGAGCUAAAAAUAGACCCGGGGGGGAGGGGAAUGGAAGGUUCUGGAAGGUCCUGGAGGCGCCCAGAGGGGCCUCAGAGCCCUCCUGGAGCUCCUGGAGGUUCUGGAGAAGUUCUGGAGCUCCUGGAGCGGAUCCAGAUGAGUCCUCAGAGCAGUUCUGGAGGUUCUUGAGAAGUUCUGGAGCUCCUGGAGGUUCUGGAGCAGAUCCAGACGGGUCCUCAGAGCAGUUCUGGAGCUCCUGGAGAAGUUCCAGAGGUUCUGGAGAAGUUCUGGAGGUUCUGGAUGGUCCUGGAGGGAUCCAGAGGGGCCUCAGAGCGGUUCUGGAGCUCCUGGAGGUUCUGGAGAAGUUCUGGAGGUUCUGGAUGGUCCUGGAGCGGAUCCAGAUGAGUCCUCAGAGCAGUUCUGGAGCUCCUGGAGAGGUUCUGGAUCAACUCUGGACCUCCUGGAUCCGUUCUGGACCUCUUGGUUAAGUUCUGAACCUCCUGGAUCAAUUCUGGAUCAAUUCUGGACCUCCAGGAUCAACUCUGGACCUCCUGGAUCAAUUCUGAAUCUCCUGGAUCAGUUCUGGACAAACUCUGCACCUCCCGGCUCAGUUCUGGACCUCCAGGAUCUCCUGAAGAUGUUCUGAACCACCUGAAUUGAUUCUGGAUCAACUCUGGACCUCCAGGAUCAACUCUGGACCUCCAGGAUCAGUUCUGGACCUCCUGGAGAUGUUCUGAAGUACCUGCAUUGAUUCUGGAUCAACUCUGGACCUCCUGGAUCAGUUCUGGACCUCCAGGGUCUCCUGAAGAUGUUCUGAACCACCUGAAUUGAUUCUGGAUCAGUUCUGGACCUCCUGGAUCAAUUCUGGAUCUCCUGGAUCAGUUCUGGACAAAUUCUGGAUCUCCUGGAUCAACUCUGGAUCUCCCGGCUCAGUUCUGCCCCUCCAGGAUCUCCUGAAGAUGUUCUGAACCACCUGAAUUGAUUCUGGAUCAGUUCUGGACCUCCUGGAUCCGUUCUGGAACUCCUGGAUCAGUUCUGCCCCUCCCGGCUCAAUUCUGGACCUCCUGGAGAUGUUCUGAACCUCCAGGAUUGAUUCUGGAUCUCCUGAAGAUGUUCUGAACUACCUGGAUUGAUUCUGGAUCAACUCUGGACCUCCUGGCUCAGUUCUGGACCUCCAGGGUCUCCUGAAGAUGUUCUGAACUACCUGAAUUGAUUCUGGAUCAACUCUGGACCUCCCGGCUCAGUUCUGGACUUCCUGGAUCAAUUCUGGAUCUCCUGGCUCAGUUCUACACUUCCUGGAGAGGUUCUGAACCUCCUGGAUCAACUCUGGACCUCCUGGAUCAGUUCUGGACCUCUCGGAUCAGUUCUGGAUCUCCUGGAUCAACUCUGCACCUCCUGGAUCAACUUUGGACCUCCUGGAUCAGUUCUGGACCUCCUGGCUCAGUUCUGGAUCUCCUGGUUCAGUUCUGGACAAACUCUGGACCUCCCGGCUCAGUUCUGGACCUCCUGGAGAUGUUUUGAAUGUCCAGGAUCAACUCUGGACCUCCC